GGAAAGAAGGGGAUUCAUUGGUAUGCGUGGAAGGAUGUGUGUGUCUUGAAAGAAGCAGGUGGCCUUGGUUUUAGAAAACUUGAUAAAUUUAAUAUUGCAUUAUUAGCUAAACAGGGUUGGCAUCUUAUUAAUUUUUGAAAUUCUUUGUUAGCCCGAGUAUUGAAAGCUAAAUACUAUCCGAAUGCGUUUUUUCUAACAGCUCAAUUAGGAAAUUUACCUUCGCUUACCUGGAAGAGUAUCUGGUCGGCAAAAGGUAUUCUGGAAGAAGGACUUUGUUGGAGGGUUGGCAAAGGGGAUCGUAUUUCUGUUUGGGAGGACCUCUGGAUUUCAGGCAAUGAAGAAGACAGAUUGCAAAAUCAUCAGGGAAAUGGAAAUACUACAUUAGUUUCGGAUUUGAUUGAUGCAGAUAGUAGAGAGUGGAAAGAUGAUAUUAUUUCUAAUACCUUCAAUGUGGAAGUUGCUAAAAAGAUCUUGCAGAUUCCAUUGGCAACGUCAGCAAAUGAAGAUUUUCAAGUCUGGAGAGGAGAACCUU
rnacentral:lncRNA from 1 species